GACAAAAAGUCCGAAAAUACAAAAUAUUCUAUUAAAUUUUCAUUUAUAAUUAUAGUUAUUAAUUAUAUAAGUAUUUAAAUUUUUGUUCAAGAUAUCGACGUUCAAACUUGAAAGUGUUCUAAUUCGACAUUUUCUGAUUAAAAACAAUAAUAAGAAAUGUAUCAGUUGAUAUUUAUUUUCGGGCGAAAUACUGUAAUAAUAUUUUUGGCUAAAAUACGGUUCAGCCCCCCUCCCCACUAUAAAACAUUUGAACGUCGAUAUCUUGAACAAAAAUUGAAAAAUUUUAAAGAACAUGCAAAUGUUGAGUUAUAAUUCCGACACAAUUUUAAACAAACAAAAAAUAAUAAAACGGUAUUACUUAUUAUUUUUAAUUUAAACCAUUUUUAAGUAUUUAAAUUAUUCAAAAAUAAACUAC